AUUUGAUUUUCUAGUAUUUUUAUUUGAAUGCAAAUGGGGAGUACUUCCUUAUUUACAUUGUAAACUUAAGUAAAUGGAGUAAUAUAAAAAUCAAUGAAAGUAAAAGAACAAAGACAUUUACUUAAAUGUUGAAAAUGGAAAUAAGGUAAUCUGUACAUCAGCUGAGCAAAGGGGCAAUUUGAAGCCUUAAUAGGUCCGUCACUGCGUGUGUGUAGAAGAUUACCAUAAUCUUUUACGGGAACACAAAAGAAAAAUAGAAGACAUUAUUUUAAAAAUAUAAUAGAAUGGAAUGUCAUACCAUAGUUAUUUGGUAUAUCAUCGAUUCGAUUGAAUAUAGAUGUCAUCCUUCUAAUCUUAAAGGUUCGUUUGCAUUUAUACAAAGAACAUGACCUCUCCACAAAAAAACCCUAGCCCCCUUUCUCCCAUAAAACACUCUUAGAGCCUUUUCCACCUUGAGGGGGGAAGAAGCCAUUGUUCUUCCCCCCUCUCCUCUCCUCUCUUCUCUUCCUCUCUUCCUCCUUUCACCUCUUCCCCCAUUUUCAAAGACAAAGGGUUUUCCCUUUUUGUCUUAGUUUUGUUAUGAUAUUCAUCCAACCAUUAGUGGCGGCUGCGGCUCAGCGUCGGAUCUUCACCUGCAUUUCGGCGUCAGAUCUCCACCACCAUCUUUUUUUCAAUUUCUUUAUGUUUGGAAUAAGUUGCAGAGACUCUUUGGGUUCUCUGUGUAGUUUUCACCUCUCCUUUUGUGAGAGUUUUUCAUCUCUCCAUUGUGAGAGAUUUUCAACUCUCCUUGGUGAGAGUUUUAUUUGUAUUGUUAUGGCUUGGUUUUUUCAAGCUUUAUCUCUUUUUUAUUAUUCUAAGUUUGCAAUCUUAGUUGGGAUGCCUAUGCCAGAGUUUCUUCGAUCUUGCCUGAUCAUUGGUGGAGACAUACCUGAUUUUCUUAAUUUGCUCCGUUAUUGUAAUGGCCCUUUUGUGACUAGUUUGUAUUGGCCAUUUGUGACUAGUGGCUUUUUUGGCUAAAUUAUGAAUGCAAUCAUAGAAUUUCUCAAAAAAAAAAAAAAGAUGUCAUCCUUCUUGGUGGACCAAUUAAUAAGUCCAAGUAACGCUUUUUCAUGAUUCUUUUGAACAAAAAUCUUCUAAGAUUACUGCAAUCAAAUCAGAAGUCGAUACAUUUAUUUUCUUUGGCGAGAGAAUCCACAAUACGACUCUCAUGCUUGCAUAUCAUCUAUUUAAAAAUAUAAAAAUCCAAAUUGUUAUAACAAAAUGCGUACUUAUACGAUGAAGACAAAUAUUAAGAGUGCUGCUAUUUCCACUCACCUGUCCUAUUUUCCCACAUACCUUAUCUUCCCACCCACCAUAUAAAUUUUAAAAAACACAAUCCUAUUUUUCCACCCGCCAAUAUUCCUAAAAUACCCUUUUAAUUGUUACCUCAUUUCCUCUCUCCUUUAUGCUCUAUGCUCAUGUCUUCUCUCUCUCUGAUGCCCACACAUCUCUCUCUCAUUUUUGCUGUAUCUUAUUUUCUACGAAAUUUGAAAUUUGAAAGCAAACAAUAGUAAGUAAUACAGUAGUAAAACGAUAAAAGAAGCAACUUCAUAUCACGAAAUUUGAUGACAAUGGCUAGUCAGCAUGCAAAAAAUGACCAGCCCUUGAAACCAAAACCUGGCACCCGCUCCCCAAUUUCUAAACGCACCGAGCAACCUCUUUACCCACCUUCCAAACUUUCUGGUCCGCUGACAGAAACUUGUUCAUCCUCAGGUUUUCAUAUUUUUAAUUUGUUUAAGAAAAAAAAUUAGGGUCCAAGAAAUACUGAUCUCCCAAUGCUUUAAGUACUUGUAAAGAUCUUAGAAAUUCUGUUCAAAAAGGAUUUCCUUACCUUUUCGCCAAAAUCAUUCUCUUCAACAUCCACUCCCCUAUUGUUUUCUUCUUCAUAAACAAUUUGAUUGAAUGAAUCGAAAAGAGAAGAAAAUUCUUUGAGAAUUGAGUUCUGCUCAUUGAAAAGUCAUAAGAGGAAUCAUGAGCUAGGAGUCAUAGCUUUCUUUUGUUUUUUUCUCUUUCUGUCAAACGAUAGGGUUACGUAAGAACAUAGUCUAAGUUUUUUUUUUUUUUCCUCUUUCUUUUUCCUGAAGUCCUUUUAAGUCAUUUUAUAUAAUGAGGUUAAAUUUGUCUUUAAAAGUUUAAAGAUAAUGUGGGUGGAAACAUAAGACAGGUGGGUGGAAAUAGCAGCACUCAAUAUUAAUAUGGGAUAACUUGGCUAUCAUAGAAGGUAAUGAAAUAGAGAAUUAAUAUUUCCAGAAGGAUAGAAAGAAUAAUUCUUUUAGGAAAACCAAAGGUUACACACAAAAGAGGUAAUUCCAAAACCCUUGCUUGAAAACCCUAAAGGCACACAUGCCUCCUCUCUCUGUGUGGCUCUCACACCAGCCCCAUUUUCUCCCUAAGAAAAUACUCCUAUUCCUUUUUAAAAUACCCACAUCUCCUUGAGACUAUUUUCCGACUUGGGCAUCGGAGGGCCCAAGACCACCACCACACUGGUGUUUAUCCAAUUUAUUAUUCUUGUUUUGCAGGAAAUCUUGGAAGAACAUUUAAAGUGGAGUGAAGAUCUUCCAUAAAUCUACCUGGAGGAAAUUUGCUACCACAAUAAUUUCUACUAACAUGAGAAGAACUUCCCAAGUGUAAAAAUAAAAGUAAUUGUAUAGUAAAGGCAUCAUAAAUUAGAAAACUAACAAGAAAAAGAAUAGAAAACUACCAUUGUAGACCAUUCCUUUUAAGAAUUCAUCAUAAAUAGGUUCAGAAUUCUAUGCCUGGUAUAAUAACAAUUUGCUAUUAAAAAAGAAUAGGUUAGUUAGGCCAUUAAUACAUAUGUUAAAUGAUGACGUGGCAAACAGGAGUUUCAAUUUUUUUGCUGAUGUGCAAUAAAAUAUUCAUAAAAAAUUAUUUAUUUUUGAAAUAAUUUAUAAAAAAGUAAAAAAAAAAAAUUAAGUAAAAUAAUAACAUAACAUUAAAUUGAAAAAAGUCAAAAUUAAGCGAUGAUGAUGUUGUAAUUCAGCAAGGGGCAAUGUAUGAGGGGUUGUGUAUGAGGGAAUUAAUUUGGUUUCCUUUGAAUGUGGAUGUUUUGGGCAUGGGAGAGAUUCUUGCCCUAUUAUUUUGCAAGCCAAACAGCAGGUUCCAGAGUCAGAUAAUGCUGAUUGUAUGGAGGAUAUUUCUACUGUCCAGGUUAAUGUGAAUUUAGGUGCUGCUACAAAGGAGGCUGAGGUUCCAGCAAAGAUGCACGGGGAGUGGAUGUUGUUGAAGCCAAGGAAUUUUAGGAAGAAUAGCACAAAUGAUAUAGGGAAGGGUGCUGAGCUUAGCAAGAGGAAUACAAAGGAUACUAGUACGAAAGCUAUUAGUCCUGUCUUUGGUUCUCGUUUCAAUGUGUCGAUUGAGGAGGUUGGCAGAGAAGAGGAUAUGGAGGGAUCUACUCCUGUUAAGACUAGUGAUUCUAGUUCUAAAAAACAGGGUUCUUUUGCCAAUACUUAUUCUACUAAGGGAAAAAGUGCUGGGGUGAAAUUUGCUUCCUCUCGUGACUCUGGCACAUGGGUGUUUAAAAAACCUCUCAAGGACAUUUCCAAUUCCGUGGUAGCUAAUUCUAGUGGUGGUGGUGUUAAAAGUGGUUCUGUUUUAAGGAGGCCUUGGAAGAAAGACCUGGGCCUAAAUCUUUCUCUUGUCAUGAUAUUGAACCUGUGAGGCUGCAAGUUAAGGGCUCUGAUGUUCAAGAUGAUGUUCGGGGGAAGUUUUCUUUUAAUUUAGGUGGCUCUCUUUUUCCAAAGUUGCCUUUGGGUAAGGGAGGUUUGAGAUGGGAAUUAAUGAGGUUGAGCCUUCCGAUGCGACUGAUAUGGAUCAUCAGAGUAAUUUCUCUGAACAUUGUGAGUCUGAUACUGGACUAGAAGCUGAUAGCUCUUUUGAGCAUGAUGGUUUUGAAGCCGUUGAGGCUGAGCAUGUGCAGAUUUAGGUUUGUACCUAAUAUUGUCCCUCAUUAUUAUCAUUUUAUGAUGAAUAUUAUUGCUUGGAAUGUUAGAGGUGCUGGUAAAGAUAGGUGUGCCAGUACUUUUAUGGACCUAAAAAAGGCUUAUCCCAUUGAUGUGUUUGCCAUUCUUGAGCCUCGAAUAAGUGGCUCUAGGGCUCUCAGUGUUGCCCAGAGUUUUGGUUUUUCUCAUUACCAUAUCGUUGAUGCUUUUGGUUUUUCUGGGGGGUGUUUGGUUGUAGUGGAAUGGGAAUUCAGUUUCUCUUCAAGUUAUUCUACACUCUAGCCAAUCUAUCACUGCGUUAGUAACUUUGAGGAAUCAUACGUGGCUCCUCGCUAUUGUUUAUGCAAACCCUUGCCCUGGGAUUUGAGAAGCUUUGUGGAAGUACUUUGAUGGUCUUACUAAAGCUUCCAAUCUGCCAUGGCUUGUUCUAGGUGAUUUUAAUGAUAUUGUGAGUGUGGAUGAGAAAUGUGGGGGUAAUUUAGACCAAGGUGGUAAAAAUUUUGAUGAGUGGAUUGAUCGUAACCAUUUGGUUGACCUGGGUUUCACUGGGGCAAAGUUUACUUGGUGUAAUAAACAGAAUGCUGAAGGAAUUAUUUGGAAGAGGCUUGAUAGGGGCCUUUGUAGUAUUGAUUGGCGUCUUUUGUUCCCUGAGGCUCACCUCCUGCAUCUUCCGAGGGUGAAUUCAGAUCACUGUCCUAUUUUGGUGCGCCUUGACUCCAAACAUUAUCCUAAUAGAGCAAAUGUGCCUUUUCGUUUCCAAGCAAUGUGGAUGUCUCAUCCUGAUUUUAAGGAAUUUGUUACGAACCUUUGGAGUUCUGGUGAUGGUCAUGCUGUGCACAGAUCAGCUAGGCUCAUGGCUCCGCUUGGCAUUUGGAAUCAGCAGGUUUUUGGGUGUUUAUUUACAAAGAAAAUGCAUCUUUUAGCUAGACUUGCAGAAAUUUAAAAGAACCUUUGUCAUGAGCAUAAUCCUUUCCUUAGUGAGCUUGAGGUUGAGCUUACUAAAGAUUACAAUUUACUACUGGAUCAAGAAGAGACGUUUUGGCUACAAAAGUCCAGGAAUACCUGGCUUAAAGAAGGGGACAUGAAUACUCGGUUCUUCCAUCUGUCUACAGUUGUUAGGCGAAGAAUGAAUAAGUUGGAAUGGUUACAUGAUGAUUUUGGAGAUUGGAUUACUGAGAAACAGAGCAUGAAACAUAUUAUUGUUAAUUAUUUUCAAGGGUUGUUUUGUGCUUAUGAUAUGGUUGGUGACUAUGCUUUGCUUCCUCAGUUGUAUCCUAGCCUUGAAGAGGCUGAUCUUGAAGGUCUUAGUUGUCCGGUUUCUAUUGAAGAGAUUAAGAAUAGUGUGUUUGCUAUUGGUAGAUUAAAGACCCCAGGACCUGAUGGUUUCCCUGCUCUUUUCUACCGAGAUUAUUGGGGGGUUUGAUUUAUCCAAAGCUUAUGAUCGUAUGCAAUGGCCUUUUAUUAGGGAGGUUCUCUGGGAAGUGGCAUUAAAGGAAGCAUUUUGGAGUUGCUUAUGCAGUGUAUCAUUUCUGUGCAGUACAAGGCCAUUCUUAAUGGGGAGCUAAUUGACUCUUUCUCUCCUCAGUGUGGUAUUAGGCAGGGGGACCCUCUCUCCCCUUAUAUAUUUGUUUUGUGUACGGAAAAACUCUCUCAUCUCAUUCAACAAAAGAUUCAGGAUAGAGCUUGGAAGUCUGUUCAGAUUUGUCAAGGAGGUCCUCAUAUUUCCCAUUUAUUCUUUGUUGAUGAUUUAAUCCUUUUUAGGGAAGCUACUACUGAUCAAGCUUGGUUGAUGAAAUAGUGUUUGGAUGAUUUCUGUCAGUUGUCUGGUCAGCGAGUUAGCUUUGAAAAGUCUAUGAUAUGUGUUUCCCCAAAUACGUGCUCUGAUUUGGCUAAUUCAAUUGCUAUGAUAAGUGGUUCUCCUCUCACUGCUAGCCUUGGUAAGUACCUUGGUGUCCCACUAGAGUCAGUAAACAAACAUAUCAAGAGGUUAUUGCUAAAGUCCAAAAGAGAUUAGCUUCUUGGAAGAGCCAUACGUUGUCUAUGGCUGGUAGAAUUACUUUGCUUCAAUCUGUUACUGCUGCUAUUCCUAUCUAUACUAUACAAACUGCCAAGUUGCCUAUGUCUGUCUGUGAUAAAUUGGAUCUGCUCAACAGGAAUUUUCUUUGGGGGCAUACCAGUAAUACUUCUAAAAUCCAUCUUGUCAAUUGGGAGCAAGUGUGUAAACCUAAGGUAGUUGGUGGGUUAGGCAUUAAAAGGUCUGCUUGGAUGAACCAAGCUCUUUUGGCUAAGACUGGAUGAAGACUUCUUCAACAUGAGCAAGGUUUGUGGUCUCAGGUCUUCUAUGCUAAGUACUUAAAACACCAAAACAUUUUAACCGUGAAGGACUCUUUUUUCCCUUGUAGCUCUAGUGUCUGGAGGGGUGUUCUUUAUGGUAAUUCUGUCAUUUCGAAAGGUGUUAAGUGGAGAGUUGGUUAUGGGGAUAAUGUGUUAUUUUGGACUGAUAGGUGGUUGAGUUGUGGUCCUUUGUAUCAAUAUUUGCUCAUUGAUCCUUUUGAGGAAAUGCUUCAGCUGAAUGUUGGUGAUUUUUUGGAUGAGGGGGUCUGGGACUUUAACUGCUUAAGGGAAUGUCUUCUUUUUCAUAUUAUUCAGUUAAUUUGAAGUGUUCAUGCUGGUUUUAAUGGCAGUGGGGCUGAUAGAUAUAUUUGGCAGUUCACGCCUAAUGGUUCUUUCUCGGCUAAAUCAGCCUAUAGUUCCUUUUUACCUGCAGAGGCUUUAGUUAAAUGGGACUGGCAGUUUCUUUGGAGGUUACGACUCCCUCCUAAGGUUAAAACUUUUCUUUGGAUUGUUUGUUAUCCAUAGUUGCUUACUAAUGUGCAAAGGCAGAAGAGAGGCCUCACUCAAGUUCCUACUUGUCCUAGAUGUGAUUAUCCUAUGGAAACUAUUGCUCACAUAUUUAAAGAUUGUCCUUUCUCUUUGGCCAUUUGGAAUUGUCUUCAAAUUGGAAAUAAUCCUAGCCCUGAUAUGGUGGAUUUUAAUGAGUGGCUGUUAAGGAAUCUACAAUCUAAAAGAAAGGUCUAUAACGGGUUGCCUUGGCCUUUGGUUUUUGCACUUUAUCUGUCGUUUAUAUGGAAAUGGAGAUGUAAAGGAAUUUUUUUAUCAAAGGUUUGUUAUGCCUGGUGAACCACAUCAUUUACUUCUUCAGUAUGCUUUGGAGUGGUUUAACACUACCAAACCGCCUUCCCUUUCUUAUAUGCCGUUUGUUGUUCAACUGCAUUGGAUAGCCCCUACUUAUGGAGUUUGUAAGAUUAACACAAAUGGAAGUCGUAACAGUGUUUCUGGGUUUAUUAGUGCUGGUGGUCUUUUAAGAGAUAAUUAUAGUGCUUGGAUUAAGGGUUUCUCUGUGAACCUGGGUGUUGGUUUUGUUCUUGUAGCGUUGUGGGGCAUUUUUUGGGGUCUUCAUUUGGCUUUGGAGUUUGGCUUUCGUGUUGUGGAGAUGGAAAGUGACUCUAGUGUGGAUGUGGCUCUUCUUUCUAGCUCUACUAUUUCCACACACCCCCUGUUUAGCCUUAUUAGGUGUUGCAAGUUAAAGGUGCAAGCUGGUUGGAGAUGUUCUGUUAUGCACAUCUUCAGAGAGCAGAAUGUGGCAGCUCACAUCUUGGCUUCUAAGAGUUCUGAGUUUGGCACUGGGGUGCAGUAUUUUACUGAGGUGCCUACAUUUCUUGCGACUUGUUUGGUUGAGGAUGCUAUUGGGGUGUCCAGGUCCAAUGUUGUUUGUGCUUAUAUUGGGUGUCCAGGUCCCGUGUUGUUUGUGCUUAGUCUGUUUGCUCUGCGCCCUUAGCCCCUCUUGUUGCCAAAAAAAAAAAAACAGUCAAAAACACAACCCAUCCCCACUUCCAGCGAUAUCUGUGGUGGUGUUGGGUGGGGAUGGUUGAUAUCGUUGCCAUUGUCUCCUCUCAGUCCCACCCCAACUUGACUACCUCCUCCCACGCCCCCACCAACCGAGCGAGUACAACCUAGCACUCUCUCUCUCUCUCUCUCUCUCUCUCUCUCUCUCUCUCACAGAGGAGACGGUAAAAUCGACAAGGGAGGGCUUUUAGACCCACCCCUUCUCUCCUGUUUGUAGGGGUGGACAUGGUCUAGUUUGGCCCGAUUUGCACCUGGUCUAGUUUGGCCCGAUCUGCACCUAAAAAAGAAAUAUAAAUCAAUACUAUUGACUAAAAUGACUAGGAGAACCGGACCAAUCUGAACUUGCCAGUCUUGGUUCUAUGGAAUUGCAAUUAAUAUUUUAUCCGAUUAUAUUUAGAUUUUUCCGCAUUAAUUUAUAAAAAAUUUAUAAAAGUAUUCGGAUAUUAUUUAUUUAUUUAUUUAGAGGAACUAGUAAAUUUUCCUUAAAUUGUCAAAGGUUACAGGCUUGAGCGAACAAACAUGGCCUCAUAAAAACCUUGCCCAAGAAAAGUAUUUGGAUACGCUUUCAUUGCUGUAUACGGUUUAAUACCGGUCUUGCAUAGGAAUUGACAUAUCUUGCAAUACGAUGCCUUCCAAUUAGGUUAUGAACUCGAGCAAACAAACGUGUUCUUAUUGAUACCGUAUCCACUGCAAUUAAUACUGUAUCAAUUAUUGAGUUUUUUCCACAUCAGUUUAUAAAGUUUAUAGAAGUAUUUGGAUACGCUUUCAUCCUAUUCAAAAGUUGUACAUAUUAAAAAGAGUAAAUUGUGGUAGACCUCCCCAAAUUAGGACCCCAAUCGAACUUAACUUUAUGAACUAAAAAAUCAGCUAAUUUAACACCCAAAUUAAUUAAAAUUGUCAAUUUAAUACCUGCCGUUAGAUUUUAUCACUUUUCAUCUAAAAUUCCUUCGUACGUGGCAUGUGAGACACAUGUGCAAUAUAAUUGGAGAACAAUAUAGUUCUUCAAACCUGUUUUCCUACCACUAUUCAACUUCCCUAAUAGUUGAGGCCAAAUUAAAAAUAGAGGAGCCCUAAUUUCACAAAUUCCACCAUUACAGACAAUUGUUAUGACAUAUACCCACCCAUAGCAUACAGUUGAGAAGAAGGAGAAGAAGAUGAAGUGGUUAGAAAAUGCAAAGGAACAUGCCUAGAGCAAAUGGUUCAGCCGAGUCCAAGUUCAAAUACCUGGAGCAAGAGGUUCUCUGUGUGUUCUAGAGAUAAGGAGCCUUCAGUCGGUUCUGACAUCAACUAUCCUCAUCAUUUGUUACCAAGUUAAUCGAGCCUAAACGUCUUGGUGCAAAACUUGCCUUUGUGGAGCAUUUGCCUUUUCACAACCAUUGACAGGGGAUAUAUUGACCCAGUUGUAAAGUGAGGAGGUAUGUAAGCCCCUAUUCUAAUUAAGAGUCUCUCUAUUGAUCUACACUUUCUUCAUUUAGACCCGUUUGGUUCAUGAGAAAUCAAUUGCUUUAAAUGUUUGGUAAGCUUAGGCAUAUAAGACAGAAAUAUCAGACGGUGUUACUGCCAAAUUCACAAGGGAAGUUUUUAGUGAUGAAAAUUGGGAUCAAACAGGUCAACAAUGGUAUAAGAGGGAUCUAAAUCCUAUUGGCAUUGAUGAAAAUUGUGUUGUGUAUUCAUUUAUCUUGGACAAAGGAGAGAACAUGUAGCACAAAAGCAAAGUAGAACACAUCAAUUUAUGUAUAGAGAACAUUAAUCAGUACUUUCUACUUCUUGGAUCAAGGAAGAGGUGCCAAGGACGAUGUAGCACAACCAAGAGCCUUUGUCACGCCAGUAAUUGUGGGCUUGACAUUAGAACACACAGAGGUAAGAGGGCCUUUGUCUCCACCGUAGGUGAGAUCAAUGUCAGUCAACUCCACAUUCUCACACGGUUUGCCCGUGGUACAUACAAGCUUGACUGCAAGUGGAGUGAAAGAUGAGCCCUUAAUGUUCUUGAAGCUGACAUUGUUGAUCUUAACUUUUGACGGAGGCUUUUGUUCACACUUAGUAUAUGGGCAGUACAAUUGGUCUAUGAGGAUAGGGUUACUGACAUUAACCAUGAUAAUAUCCUCAUAGUGUAUACCCGAGGCAGAGCUAGGCGAAGGAGAAUCUGGAAAUGUUUUGAUUCUCACACCGUUCUCCGUAUUAGUCAGGGUGCAGUUCUUAACUAUGAUCCCGGUCACAUCCUUUUCUUCCUUAUAUUUUCCAAGGCUUCCAAUGCUUAUUCCAUGGCCUGGCCCACAAGUAACACCAGUCACUGUGAUUUCGUGGGAGUCAUCACCAAUAGAAAUACAGUCAUCCCCAGUUCCAAUCUUUGAAUGAGUAAUGUUGAUACCAGUCGAAGCCCCGAUAUGGAUUCCAUCUGUGUUUCUGCUCUCGUCAGGUGCUGUGAUGGUAAGCUGUUGAAAUGUAGUAUGGUUGCACCGGAAAACAUGGAUGUGGAAAAAUUUGCUGUUAAGUGAAGUUAUGUCCUGAACUUUGGAAUUUGUGAGGAAUUCAAACCGCAGAUUAACGGGAGGAGGUUUGCAAUUUUUGUUUUUGUGGCAGUCAUUUUGAUUCCAAGAAAGUGCUCCUUGGCCAUCAAAAGUCCCACCACCUGAUAAGGUGAGCAUGUCAAUGUACUGAAAACCAACCCAAGUAUCCGGUCUUGUGAGUUGGCCAGCGUCUGCUGGAGCCUGCAAUGUGCCUUGAACUUGCAUCUCAAUAGGAGCCUUACAGGGGCCUCUGAAAGUUGCUUCUUUUAACUUGUAUGUCCCGCUCGGAACGACAACUUUACUCGCGGAUGGCGAUGCACAUGCAUCACUCCAAGCCUUGGCCAAGGCCGUACUGACAUCAGAGCCAGGCUUUGCACCGUAUGUUGCACUUGUGGUUGUUAGUUCAUCUAUUUUUUACCAUAUUCUUUUAAUUUUUCUUAUAAUCCAUAGGUUUUGCUUGCUAUCUACCGGUGACAUCCAUCUUGAUUUUCCUUCCAAUUUGUUAUUUUAUUCUCUGUUUUUUUUUUUUUUUCCCUUUGGAAGGAUGAUGAACUCCGUUUUGAGUGAAGGCCAUUUAAAGUCCGAUUGGGAAGGCUCACACCAUCAAACUAUCCGACCAAUCACAACUAUUUUUAGACACAGUUGCAUUCUAGUUUAGCUUUAUGUUCUGUAAAUAGUAAGCCGAUUAGCAUAGAGAAUAUCGUCACCAAAGGCGAUUUCUAGGACGUGCUAGCUGUUUGUAGUACNNNNNNNNNNNNNNNNNNNNNNNNNNNNNNNNNNNNNNNNNNNNNNNNNNNNNNNNNNNNNNNNNNNNNNNNNNNNNNNNNNNNNNNNNNNNNNNNNNNNNNNNNNNNNNNNNNNNNNNNNNNNNNNNNNNNNNNNNNNNNNNNNNNNNNNNNNNNNNNNNNNNNNNNNNNNNNNNNNNNNNNNNNNNNNNNNNNNNNNNNNNNNNNNNNNNNNNNNNNNNNNNNNUGGUUGUUAGUUCAUCUAUUUUUUACCAUAUUCUUUUAAUUUUUCUUAUAAUCCAUAGGUUUUGCUUGCUAUCUACCGGUGACAUUGAUCUCACCUACAAUGGAAACAAAGGCCCUCUUACCUCUCAAUGUUAAUGUCAAGCCCACCAUUAUUUGUGUGACAAAAGCCCUUGCCUGUGCUACCUAUGCUGGGUGAAAGAAAUGGAAAGUACUAAAGAUAAAUUGUUGUGUUCUUUGGUUUUUUUGAUUUUGUGGUGCUUGUACAGGUCUUUUUUCUUCGCUCAGAUGCCUUCACAUGUUUUGAGCUAUAAAAUUCUAAUAUAUUUAAUAUUUGCAAAUAAAUUGCUAGUGUUAAAACAUACAUUCACUAAUUCAUCAUUGUCUAGAUAAUGCUUCAGUUUCUACUCUAUAUACUUUUCUUAGCCUACAACCAGUUCGAUGCUUGGCCAAUUGAAGCUGGGAUUAGUAUGCCAGCUUGAUUUUGAUCCUUCCACUAUAUUAAUUGAAGAUUAUCAGACAAACCGAAUGUGUGUGUAUAUAUAUGUAUAUAUAUAUAUAUACAUUUAUUCUCUCAUCCAGACGGUCUGGACGUUAUUAUCGUGCGGGCGCCAUUGUAAACAAGGAGUACACUUUUAAAAUAAAUUAAUAUUUAAAGAGUGGCUAUACUUGUUAUUUAUGCGAAUAUUCUAUACUAUUUAAAUAUUUGAAUGGAUGUCAAGCAUAUAGCCGACCAGCUAUACUGCAUAAAAGUGUGUUCUUUUUUGUAAUCAAGUAAUAUCUUACCAUUUCAAAAUUAAUUGAAUUUUUAUGUAUUUAGUGAAUAAUUAUUAUUGAAAUAUUUUACUAAUUUCAAUAUUUACUUCAUAAAUUGUAAUUAAUUAUUUAAAAUUAUUUUGUGGACUUUAAUUUUCUACAAAAUUAGUUUAUUUUGUUUAAUAUGUUCAAAUAUUUUAAUAGUAUAGCCGUGCGACUGUACUAUUAAAAUAUAUUAAUAUUUAAAGCGUAUAGCCAUGCGGCUAUACCUGUUAAGUAUAUUUUAGUUUUAAGAGUAUAGCCGCACGACAAUACUUUUAAAAUAUUUAGACAUAUUGAAUAUUCGAACAGAUUAAACUAAAUAAACUAAUUUUGUACAAAAUAAAAUAAAAAAACAAAGUCCACAAAAUAAUUUAAAAUAAUUAAUUACAAUUUAUUAAGUAAUUUUUGAAAUUACUAAAAAAUUUAAAUACUAAUUGUUCACUAAAUUUAUAAUAAUUAAAGCAAUUAAAAAAGGCUAAGAUCUAACUUUUUAUCUUUCAAUGGAUCCAUCUGCUUUGAGUUUCACAGUAUAGAUCAACCCGCAUCCCACAGUAUUCUUUCCAUAAGGUAAAGGCACGAGCUCUCAUGUGGCAAUCUUCUGGAGAGCUCGCAUGUAACACCCCGUCCCAAAAAUACUGUUCAAUUGAUUAUUUAAUUGUGGAUUUACAAUUAAGCCCUUGGGGGUAGGGUUACUUUAGUCACUUUUCAAUCUGGACGGUUUUUCAGGAUUUUAGUAACACCAUUUUGUAGAGCUCGCUCUCACGAGUUCGUAGACACAUAGUGGGCUCAAAUCGGAGUUAUAACGAAGAAGUUGUGGUCCACGGAAGUGCAGUGGCAAAAACGUAAAAUUUUCAAAGUUGGAUUUUAAAAUACCCAAUCAGCCUCUCUCUCUCUCUCUCUCUCUCUCUCUCUCUCUCUCUCUCUCUCUACGCACACGACUUUCUCUCUUUACAAGAGCGGCGGCAAAUUUUCGACCGUGAUUUUGUCAUCGUCCGGUGUCCGAUUCGAGCAAAAUUGGUUACAAAAGUUUCGUAACAGUGUCCUCUAUCUUACCCACAUUUCCCAGCUCAAAAACCCAAGGAAAUUAAACUGAGCUACUGGAAGUUCGAGUGAUUUUUGAAGUUUUCGAGGCUGUUUUCAGCGAUCUCGGUGGCGGUUUUCGUCUAUCCAGGUAUGAAUCUUCAUCCCAUCCACGUGCUCUAGUUGUUUAUGUUGGUAUCUUGGAUAAAUUUUGAGGUUUUACAUGUCGUUUAAAAUACCCAUUUUAGCCAACGGUUUUGGCUUCAAUUCGGCUAGUUCCGACUAGUUUUUGGCCGUGGUCCAAGAACAGAACUUGAUCCCCUAGUAAGUCUGAAUCUGUUGGCAUAGGUAUUCACUGGUGGUUUGGAGAUUUUUCGUCGCUGAAAAAUCUUUUAAGACACCCACGCGCUGCUGGCGGUGGGUGGCGGCCCAUGGAGUUCUAAAUUGUUACCCUUGUUGUCCUGAGCACGACGGUAUGCUUGGAUUUUGAUUUGAUUAUCGUUUGACUGUCGAACGGAUAUUGCACCUGUUAUGCGAUAUUCGGGUUCAAUAGGUUUGGACCGUUCAAUCGGUCCCAUUUUCUAAUGCGUUGUUCCUCGUACUUCUAAGAUUUGUGUUGGAACUGGUGGAUCGAGAAUGGGAGUCCCGGAUACUCCUAAUCAAUGAUUCUAGGGCUAAGUAAACCGGUUACCAUCCGAUCGUGUGAUCGAGACCAAACUCUGAAAACUUGUUAAGUAGACCUUGUUGGACUUAUAGUAAAGUUUGGAUCGAAAAUAGGAGGUUGUGGACCCCUAGAGCCCAAUUGGUCAAAUUCAGCGAUCGGGGUCAAACUGACCGUUAGAUCGUGACGGGACUUCUAGAAUGGGCUGAACUUUUGGUUAUGGACCAAUAGGAAUUGUCAUAUAGCAAUUGGGGUUGGGGGCCCUUCGAGCCCAGUUGACUUAGAUUGUGGGCUUUGUUGGCUCGGUCGAGGCCUUUUAGUAGUUGUAAUUGUAAUUGGAGGUUUGUUUUAAAAUGGUAUUGUGUUUUGACCGUUUCAUUAAAUUUUUAUGAAUUAUUAUGUUAUCGCUUUUACUUUCCAUGAAUAAGGAAUGGCUUGGAUAACCGGAUUUUGGCAUGAAUAAGGAAUUAAUUAAAUGCCUGAUUGUAUGUCUAUAUUUAAAUAUAUGCUCGGUGGCUUGAAAUCGAUGAAUGAUGGACACUAGUUUUCUCAAUAGUAUGUUGUACAUAUUUGAAUGUAGUUUGAGAACAGUUUUGAAAGAUUAUGCAUGGUCAAGUUCAAGUUAAGGAAUGUUGGGAUUGAUCACAUUUUAAAAAAGGAUUUUUGGUUAUCUAUUUAAAAAUUGAUUUUUGGAAAUUUGAGAAAGAAUUUGGAAACUGGAUUAGUGGAAAAAGAGGAAUUUUAUGAUAAGUUUCGGAAAAUGGUUUUCAAAACCCACCACCAGAGUACCGCCCCCCAAGUUGCCUUCGGAACAGUCUAGUCAUUUAUGACAAUGCCCACGAGUCUCGGGGACCCCUGAACCAUGUGGUGUGAGGAUUUGCGUUCUCGGGUUGAUUAUAUCUUCCUGAGUCGUGCGAGGGGAUUUGACGGAUAUGGGUUUCGGGCUGAUCACCCGAUUCUGCGAGGAUAUGCGUUCUCGGGCAGACCACGUAUUCCCCGAGUUACAUGGGAAAGUAGUGGGGAAAGUGAAGCCCUCCUCCCCCCUUGGGUUUUGUUUUCCCUCAUCACUGGAAAGUUUGGGAAAAUGAACCAACAUUAAAUGCACAUUUUUCAUGAUCAUUUUGUCCCCCUUAAAAAUUUAGAAUUACAAUAUAUCAUUAAAUGCGUUCUUUUUUUUAUUUGAGUUAAUACAGGUAUAAUUGGAAAAUUAUACAAAUUUUGUUUUCCAUUUCUACUCAAAACGAACAUGGGAAACGAAAUAAAGGGAUAUCUCCUGGUUACUUUCAUUUCCCGUCUCUUGGGAAAUGACAUGGGAAGUGAUUUCCCCUCAAAUCCAUUCUGUGAACCAAAUGGGGCCUUAAGGUAAGAGCUUUUCCCCCAUAACAAGAGUUUUCUUUAGGGUUUUCCAUCCCUGGUUUGUCUGGGGUUUUCUUUAUUUUCUUACCAAACUGGUGAUAUACCGGGGUUUCCCUUCGAUAUCCAAGUAGUUGGAAUGGAAGAGGUGAUAAAUUCAUUGGAGAAAGUACUCAUCCUAACUGAAGACGAGAAUGAUUCGAUUUAGUAGGACAAAAUGAUGUCGAUGACGUGGGGGAGCGACUCAAGACGAGCCUGGUUGGAAAUGUCUUUACAACUAAUGUUUUCAACCGGGAGACAUUCAAGCAAACGAUAUUGAUGAUUUAGAACACAGCUCGUGAGGUGGGGGUGAAAGAUUUAGGUGAAAAUAUCUUUUUGUUCAUCUUUGUGACGGAAGGGGAUUGACUGAAGGUGUUGUGCAGUCGGCCUUGGAAUUUUGAAAAGCUCUAGUAUAACUUGAGAUUCCUGGUGGUAGUAUUGCUCCAUAAAAAAUGCAUCUAAAGUAUGCAGAAUUCUGAAUUGAAGUCCGUAACGUACCACUGAGUUGUGAGAAGACAAAUAUGGGGAGACAAAUUGGGAAUAUCUUGGACAGUGUUUGGAUGUAACAUAGGGCAUGGACGGGGAGUGUUUGGGUAGAUUUAUGUGGAUGCGUGUUUGUUUGGAUGUCUCCAAGUCGUUACGGUGAGGAAAAUGGUGAUUCUACCUUCUGGAAACAUAGAGUUAGUAGAUUUCCGAGACGAACAAUUGCCAGAAUUUUGUUUUGUGUGCGACAGAGUGGGUCAUGUGUUCAAGGUGUGUUCUUUUGUCGACCAGGCAGCCAAGCAAGCCAGCAAAAAGCCUAAAGGGACAUGGUUAGAGGCCACCACUGAUUUUAUCACUACAAGGGCAAGUAGUCCUAAGCGAUCCAACUGUGGUGGUAUGAGUAGACAUGUAUACGAAUAUCUAUGUAUGUGUGUGCACUGGGACCUAGGAAUUUUUUAGCGAAGAUGCAAUUUUGAAAGGCUAAAAACUGUUUGUGGAUUGAACAUCUAAGGUUUUUUUUACCUAAAUUGACCUUAGGUCCCUUAAUGCAUUCAUAUAAUACAUUAAAAAUUAUUUUAUAUAAAAAUAUUGAAUAAGUAUGAAAAAUGGUUUUUUGGAAUAAUCAUUUUCACAAGAUAAUUUUGGCGGCUUUUAUUCCUUACACAUCAAAUAAGAAAACUUAAUUUUAUGAAAUUUUAGUAUGAAGUAUAUAUUGACGUAAUGAGCCAUCAUUUUUAUCAUAAAUCGUAUUUUGCACUAAAACCGAUUUUUUCAUAUUUUGAGUUGGUGGGAAUUUAAUUUUCUAGUAUUUUUAUUUGAAUCCAAAUGGGGGGUACUUCCUUAUUUACAUUGUAAACUUAAGUAAAUGGAGUAAUAUAAAAAUAAAUGAAAGUAAAACAACAAAGACAUUUACUUAAAUGUUGAAAAUGGAAAUAAGGUAAUCUGUACAUCAGCUGAGCAAAGGGGCAAUUUGAAGCCUUAAUAGGUCCGUCACUGCGUGUGUGUAGAAGAUUACCAUAAUCUUUUACGGGAACACAAAAGAAAAAUAGAAGACAUUAUUUAAAAAAUAUAAUAGAAUGGAAUGUCAUACCAUAGUUAUUUGGUAAAUCAUCGAUUCGAUUGAAUAUAGAUGUCAUCCUUCUAAUCUUAAAGGUUCGUUUUCAUUUAUACAAAGAACAUGACCUCUCCACAAAAAAACCCUAGCCCCCUUUCUCCCAAAAAACACUCUCAGAGCCUUUUCCAUCUUGAGGGGGGAAGAAGCCAUUAUUCUUCCCCCCUCUCCUCUCC
rnacentral:lncRNA from 1 species